rnacentral:rRNA from 1 species
GCCCCACCCACCUAGAGGAGCCUGUUCUAUAAUCGAUAACCCCCGCUUAACCUCACCACUUCUUGCCAAUACCGCCUAUAUACCACCGUCGCCAGCCCACCCCGUGAGGGAAAUAGUAGGCACAAUGAUAAGUCACCAAAACGUCAGGUCAAGGUGUAGCGUAUGAAGUGGAAAGAAAUGGGCUACAUUCUCUAACCUAGAGCACACGAAAAAUCAUAUGAAAUUAGAUUGGAAGGAGGAUUUAGUAGUAAAAAGAAACAAUAGUGUUCUUUUUAAGUUGGCCCUGGGGCGCGCACACACCGCCCGUCACCCUCUUCAACUAAUAAAACACGAUUUAUAAAACACAAAACAAACACAAGAAGAGGUAAGUCGUAACAUGGUAAGUAUACCGGAAGGUGUGCUUGGAAUUAC